rnacentral:rRNA from 1 species
GUCUAUGGCCAUACCACCCUGAACGCGCCAAUGUCAUCUGAUGUUGGAAGCUAAGCAGGGUCAGGCUUGGUUAGUACUGGAUGGGAAAAGAGUGUAAAUAACCUCAGGAA